rnacentral:rRNA from 1 species
ACUCCUACGGGAGGCAGCAGUAGGGAAUAUUGGACAAUGGGCGAAAGCCUGAUCCAGCAAUGCCGCGUGAGCGAUGAAGGCCUUAGGGUUGUAAAGCUCUUUUACCCGGGAUGAUAAUGACAGUACCGGGAGAAUAAGCCCGGCUAACUCCGUGCCAGCAGCCGCGGUAAUACGGAGGGGCUAGCGUUGUUCGGAAUUACUGGGCGUAAAGCGCACGUAGGCGGCUAUUUAAGUCAGGGGUGAAAGCCCGGAGCUCAACUCCGGAAUAGCCCUUGAGACUGGAUAGCUAGAAUCACGGAGAGGUGGGUGGAAUUCCGAGUGUAGAGGUGAAAUUCGUAGAUAUUCGGAAGAACACCAGUGGCGAAGGCGGCCCACUGGACGUGUAUUGACGCUGAGGUGCGAAAGCGUGGGAGCAAACAGGAUUAGAUACCCUGGUAGCGACUGA